ACAAUAUUUGGUUAGAGAUUCAAGCUAGAGGUGAACCCAAGAAUAACUUAUAAUAUAUUAAUCACACGCUCUUUGACUGAAAGGUAGAGAAGCAAUGUUUGCGGCGGAGAACGGGCUCAAAGGAGAUCCAAGGCUUGAAGCUAUAUCAGCAGCUAUUAGAGUUGUUCCUGAUUUCCCCAAGAAAGGGAUUAUGUUCCAGGACAUAACAACGUUGUUGCUGGAUCACAAGGCCUUUAAACAUACAAUUGAUAUCUUUGUUGAUCGCUACAAAGACAUGCAUAUCUCUCUUGUUGCUGGAGUUGAAGCAAGAGGUUUCAUGUUUGGUCCAUCCACUGCUUUAGCCAUAGGUGCAAAGUUUGUCCCUUUGCGUAAACCCGGGAAAUUACCAGGGAAGGUCAUAUCGGAGUCUUAUGAGCUCGAGUAUGGACAUGACCGUCUAGAGAUGCACGUUGGCGCCGUUGAGCCACGAGAACGCGUCAUUAUAAUCGACGAUCUUGUCGCCACCGGCGGCACACUCUCCGCCGCCAUUAGCCUUAUGGAAAGCCAGGGCGCUGAAGUUGUGGAAUGUGCUUGUGUUAUCGGCUUGCCUGAAGUCAAGGGACAACACAAGCUGAAAGGGAAGCCGCUCUAUGUGCUGGUGGAGCCUAGUGGAUUAGAUGAAUUCUGAUUAUAGGAUACAACCCGGUUAAUUCCGGUUCAGCUUUUUGUCCUCAUGCAGAGACAGAGUUCAUGUUCUUUAAAAAUUCAGGCGGUUGGUAAAACCGGGAAACAGAAACCUCUUAACAUCGCUGGUUUGGUGGAUCACUAAUUAACCUUACCCUAAUCAAAUUUAUAUCGAGGAUCAAUCAUAAAAGAAGCCUAUAAAACACUUUCCUAAUUUCAUGCGUGAAACCUGCAAAGUACUAGUAGUGGUGGGGGUCUACUAAAGUUAUUACUGCUUUUAGAGCUCUGGAAAGAAGUUGGUUGGUAUUCUACGACAAAAUACUAUUCAUCACUGCAGUUGUAUAGUUCCAAAUAUUAUAUAUAUAUAUAUUUAUAAUUUGAACUCAAUAUUAAAACAGAAGUGUGUUUGUCUGUUUUUGAAACCACUAUGAUUUGGUCACUGCGUUCAUACAAUCAUACUUGUUUUAUUUUCUUAAAAUACAAUUUCAUUAUUUCAUAGUUUGCACU